AGAGAUCCUCUUUAUUUAUAGAUGAAUCUCAUGAUACAAUAAGUAUAAGACUCCUAAUACAAACAUGUUUUGAAUCAAUUCAAUAGGCAUGAAAGAAGGACUCCUACAUGAGAUAGAAUUGCCAUCACAUAUGAUAACCAAAUUGCACCUAAUCCCUCACCCACAUGGGAUGCCCACAAUAAGGAAGCUUUCAGGUGUUGGUCAAUCCAU
rnacentral:lncRNA from 1 species